UAACUUGAGAGUUUGAUCCUGGCUCAGAACGAACGCUGGCGGCAUGCUUAACACAUGCAAGUCGAACGAAGGCCCUGGCUUGCCAGGAUCACCUUAGUGGCGGACGGGUGAGGAACGCGUGGGUAUCUGCCCUGGAGUAAGGAAUAACCAUUGGAAACGAUG
rnacentral:rRNA from 1 species